AACACUGGGUGCUGUCGAUAGCCUGAGAUGAGCGAUGAAAGGUUCGGGAUAUAUUCCAGCUAUGUUAAUAGGCAGCUUGUUGGUUUGUUUACAGAAUCCUGAGCUCAGACCUAAAUUCUUUUGACUUGUGAUUCAGAAGCAGGAAGGAUUGCGUGGGAAUAAUGAAGUGGAAAAGCCAAGAAUGGGAUAAAUACUGGUGUUUGUCUCCACUAAAAGGAGGGGGCCGAAUUGGUUGCUAUGGUAGAUCAUCUUCAAGUACUGGCUAGUUUGGAAGGGGGAAGACGAGCCAACAUAGAUUUUCAUACUGCACCAUCACUGUGGUAUCUGGGCACCAUGGAAUGGAGAAAAACAGACAAAACAAGGAUUAAUGUCUCCCCCCUUCCUUCUAACUCCUGGAGGUGCAUCUCAGAAGUGGGUUUUUUACCCACGAAAACGUAUGCCCAAAUAAAUCUGUUAGUCUUUAAGGUGCCACCAGACUCCUCGUUGUUUUUGUGGAUAUUGAC